AGAAAUGCAAGUUAGUCUGGUCCUUCUCCACUACAGUAGACAGAGUGGCUUAGAAAUUAAAACACUGCUCCUCGGCAGAGCCCCCACCCUACUCCCUACAUUUUUGGACCCCAUAGGAGGAAAGAGGGAGAGAACUGUCAGAAGGAAGAAGGCAGUUGGUGUGAACCUAUGAAAAUCAGCGUUUUCCAAAGUGUUCAAGAACUUUACUUCGAUCCCAAAUCAGUUCUCUGGAGGAGGUAAGAGUUUACUUGGCAUGGCCCGAUGCAAACCCUACCCUACGCGUGGAUUUUGUUUCUCCCCAGAGCCUCUUCAGAAUCUUGGUUAAUUCCAGAGCUGCUAAGGGACUCCAGGGUCGCGGAGGGAGGGCCCUGCGCCCCUCAGCGCUGCUUAGGGUCUUCCUGGGCGACUGCACUGGGAAACUAAGCCGGCCCAGGCGAUGUGCCCCGGGCGGCCCCAAGAAAAAGACUAGCGGCUCAGAAGCCACGGGCUUUACCUCUAGGAAGUGGCUAUGAGGCCCG
rnacentral:lncRNA from 1 species